rnacentral:rRNA from 1 species
GACGAACCGUGCGAACGUUGUUCGGAUUCACUGGGCUUAAAGGGCGCGUAGGCGGGUUACCAAGUCCGGGGUGAAAGCCCCCAGCUCAACUGGGGAAGUGCCUCGGAUACUGGUGACCUCGAGGAAGGUAGGGGCAUGCGGAACUGUAGGUGGAGCGGUGAAAUGCGUUGAUAUCUACAGGAACGCCGGUGGCGAAAGCGGCGUGCUGGACCUUUUCUGACGCUGAGGCGCGAAAGCUAGGGGAGCAAACGGG